rnacentral:rRNA from 1 species
GAUGAACGCUGGCGGCGUGCCUAAUACAUGCAAGUCGAGCGAACAGAUGAGGAGCUUGCUCCUCUGACUUUAGCGGCGGACGGGUGAGUAACACGUGGAUAACCUACCUAUAAGACUGGGAUAACUUCGGGAAACCGGAGCUAAUACCGGAUAAUAUAUUCAACCGCAUGGUUCAUUAGUGAAAGACGGUUUUGCUGUCACUUAUAGAUGGAUCCGCGCCGCAUUAGCUAGUUGGUAAGGUAACGGCUUACCAAGGCAACGAUGCGUAGCCGACCUGAGAGGGUGAUCGGCCACACUGGAACUGAGACACGGUACAGACUCCUACGGGAGGCAGCAGUAGGGAAUCUUCCGCAAUGGGCGAAAGCUUGACGGAGCAACGCCGCGUGAGUGAUGAAGGUCUUCGGAUCGUAGAACUCUGUUAUUAGGGAAGAACAAAUGUGUAAGUAACUAUGCACGUCUUGACGGUACCUAAUCAGAAAGCCACGGCUAACUACGUG